CUCAGUAACGGCGAGUGAAGCGGCAACAGCUCAAAUUUGAAAGCUGGCCUUUUCAAGGCCCGCGUUGUAAUUUGUAGAGGAUGUUUUGGGCGCGGCGCUGGUCUAAGUUCUUUGGAACAAGACGUCAUAGAGGGUGAGAAUCCCGUAUGUGACUGGUAGCCUGUACCUAUGUGAAACUCCUUCGACGAGUCGAGUUGUUUGGGAAUGCAGCUCAAAAUGGGAGGUGUAUUUCUUCUAAAGCUAAAUAUUGGCCAGAGACCGAUAGCGCACAAGUAGAGUGAUCGAAAGAUGAAAAGCACUUUGGAAAGAGAGUUAAACAGUACGUGAAAUUGUUGAAAGGGAAGCGCUUACAAUCAGACUUGCGCGGCGUCGAUCAGCCUGGGUUUUCCCUGGUGUACUCGGCGUCGCUCAGGCCAGCAUCAGUUUCGGCGGUGGGAUAAAGGUUCAGGGAAUGUGGGUGACUUCGGACACCGUUAUAGCCCUGGGCGCAAUGCCGCCUGCCGGGACUGAGGACCGCGCUUCGGCUAGGAUGCUGGCGUAAUGGUUGUAAGCGACCCGUCUUGAAACACGGACCAAGGAGUCAAACAAUUGUGCGAGUGUUUGGAUGUAAAAUCCAUACGCGUAAUGAAAGUGAACGGAGGUGAGAACCCUUAAGGGUGCAUCAUCGACCGGUCCUGAUGUCUUCGGAUGGAUCUGAGUAAGAGCAUAGCUGUUUGGACCCGAAAGAUGGUGAACUAUGCCUGAAUAGGGUGAAGCCAGG
rnacentral:rRNA from 1 species